UACGUAGGGGGCAAGCGUUGUCCGGAAUCAUUGGGCGUAAAGCGCGUGUAGGCGGCCCGGUAAGUCCGCUGUGAAAGUCGGGGGCUCAACCCUCGAAUGCCGGUGGAUACUGUCGGGCUAGAGUGCGGGAGAGGCGAGUGGAAUUCCUGGUGUAGCGGUGAAAUGCGCAGAUAUCAGGAGGAACACCGGUGGUGUAGACGGCUUUCUGGACCGACACUGACGCUGAGACACGAAAGCGUGGGUAGCAAACAGG
rnacentral:rRNA from 1 species